UACAGAGGGGGCAAGCGUUGUUCGGAAUUACUGGGCGUAAAGGGCGCGUAGGCGGCCCGCUAAGUCGAACGUGAAAUCCCCGAGCUCAACUCGGGAACUGCGUCCGAUACUGGUGGGCUUGAAUCCGGGAGAGGGAUGCGGAAUUCCAGGUGUAGCGGUGAAAUGCGUAGAUAUCGGAAGGAACAUCAGUGGCGAAAGCGGCUUCCUGGACCAGCACCGACGUUCAGGCACGAAAGCGUGGGGAGCAAACAGG
rnacentral:rRNA from 1 species